CUCGCACACGGUGGUCAGCUGCGUCACGUCCAGGUUGUAGGGCUUCCGGCCCGUGCCGUACCAGAGCCGCCAGAGCCGUGAAGACCUUUAAAGAAACAGAUGUGGAUGCCACCAGUAACAGUGCUCAGCGAUGUGUGUAAGUCCGUCCCCGAGCUGCAAUGCCACUGUAUCCAGAUGUCCCUCCUCCGUAUUUACACACAGACAUCUGUCACAAGCGUGUGCACAGCCCCAUUCCACAGAUCAGGAAGCUGAGGCUCACGAUCAGGGACCCUUGAAGAGUCUUCACUAACUCCAGGAUUCCAGAUCCCAAAACGGAGUUCAGCCCAGCGUUUUGUUUAAAGAGGAGCUAGGGAGACUAUGUGAGUCCCUUCCCUGGCCCACUUCUCCCCACCCUCCUCAGAGAAGCGGAAGGCCGGACCAGCAGAGGCUGCGGGGCUAAUAAAUCACAACUAACCAAAGCAGCUCCAUGUUGUAAAUCCCGACAGAGACUGCUUCGCGGGGCACAGCCUGGUCACCGAGUCGGGGACACGUUUGGAGGCCCAGAUGUAGGCCAUCCCCCCUACCCCCCAGAGGGCAAAGCCAGGGCAUGGGAACAGGAAGACGGGGAAGUCGGGCCCUCCUGGAAAAGUCCCCACUCUCCUGCCAGCCUGGCAGAGCCCGGCCCAGAGCUGGCCAAGCCUCGUCCUUGGUAUGCUGAAGGCAUCUGCCCUGGAAACAGAGGCCCCGGGGCCAGGUCUUGUUUCAGAGGGAACUUUGAUCCCUACGAAAGGCUCCUCACUGCUGGUCCUCCAAGCCAGACUGGACCCCAGGACCCCUCCCUGGGCUUCCAGCAGCCCCUGGCAUGGCCUCCUUCCACCUCUGGUUAGCCAAAUCCAAACAAGCCUUGGACACAGGAGCCCGGAAUCUAUUUCUGCUGGAAGGCAGAGGAGUUGAACUCCACUCCCAGCAGAGAGCUCAGAUGUCAUUAUUAGCUGACCAGCUUGGGACACAGGCGGGAAUAGAGAGCAAGCCCGUGCUGGAAAGUACUAACCCAGAGCUGCCCCAUGGCUCAAGCCAUGACCCAUGCUGACCUGGUCUGUCAUUCAGCAGGUGUAGACCCGGGUGAGUGGCCAGCUGCCUCCCAACCUCAGUUUGCCCAUCUGUGAAGUGGACAUAGCCAUGGUCAUCACAAGAUUCUGAAGACUUACAGCACUUAGUCAGUGCCGGGCACACAGAUGUAACCAAACCUCGGGGCUGGGACACAGGUUCUAGUACCAGCCCCAGUGGGCCUAGCUCCAUCCCUUUCUGGCUGUGGGACCUUGGCUAGAUCUGUUCAUUUCUCUCGGCCUGUUUUCUUACCUGUAAAGUGGGGGUAACUAUAAGAAGACUGCUGUGAAGACUAAUUAAUACAGUGCCUGGCAGAGGGGAAGCACUCAUCACGAGUCAGUCCCGGCUGCAGAAUCAGCACAGAACCAACCACCCUGCAGCCCCGUGGCCCUGCCCUCUGCCGGUUUCCACGGGGCCUCUCCCUGCCCCAACUUUCUCCAGCAGAGCCACAGCGGCGGCUCCCCU